GAUGAACGCUGGCGGCGUGCUUAACACAUGCAAGUCGAACGAUGAAGCCCAGCUUGCUGGGUGGAUUAGUGGCGAACGGGUGAGUAACACGUGAGUAACCUGCCCUUGACUCUGGGAUAAGCCUGGGAAACUGGGUCUAAUACCGGAUAGGAACGUCCACCGCAUGGUGGGUGUUGGAAAGAUUUAUCGGUCAUGGAUGGACUCGCGGCCUAUCAGCUUGUUGGUGAGGUAAUGGCUCACCAAGGCGACGACGGGUAGCCGGCCUGAGAGGGUGACCGGCCACACUGGGACUGAGACACGGCCCAGACUCCUACGGGAGGCAGCAGUGGGGAAUAAUGCACAAUGGGCGAAAGCCUGAUGCAGCGACGCCGCGUGAGGGAUGACGGCCUUCGGGUUGUAAACCUCUUUCAGUAGGGAAGAAGCGAAAGUGACGGUACCUGCAGAAGAAGCACCGGCUAACUACGUG
rnacentral:rRNA from 1 species